rnacentral:rRNA from 1 species
CAGCUCUUCAAGUGGUCGGGAUUUUUAUUGGGCUUAAAGUGUCCGUAGCCGGUUUGGUAAGUUCCUGGUUAAAUCUGGCAGCUUAACUGUCAGUCGGCUAGGAAUACUAUCUUACUGGAGGACGGGAAAGGUCUGAGGUACUCCAGGGGUAGCGGUGAAAUGUGAUAAUCCUUGGGGGACCACCAGUGGCGAAGGCGUCAGACUGGAACGUGCCUGACGGUGAGGGACGAAAGCCAGGGGAGCGAACGGGAUUAGAUACCCCAGUAGUCC